AGGGGUAUAGCUCAGUGAUAGAGCAUUUGCUUAGCAUGUACAAGGCCCUGGGUUCCAUUCCCAGGACCACCA
rfam:Ictidomys tridecemlineatus contig029511, whole genome shotgun sequence.